rnacentral:miRNA from 1 species
AAUUGCAUUGAUUGGUAUUGGC